UACGUAGGGGGCUAGCGUUGUCCGGAAUCAUUGGGCGUAAAGCGCGUGUAGGCGGUCCGGUAAGUCCGCUGUGAAAGUCGGGGGCUCAACCCUCGGAUGCCGGUGGAUACUGUCGGGCUUGAAUACGGAAGAGGCGAGUGGAAUUCCUGGUGUAGCGGUGAAAUGCGCAGAUAUCAGGAGGAACACCAAUUGCGAAGGCAGCUCGCUGGGACGUUACUGACGCUGAGACGCGAAAGCGUGGGGAGCAAACAGG
rnacentral:rRNA from 1 species